GACGAACGCUGGCGGCGUGCUUAACACAUGCAAGUCGAACGGAAAGACGAGGAGCUUGUGGGGUGCUCGAGUGGCGAACGGGUGAGUAAAACGCGAGUAUCCUGUCCUUGACUUUGGGAUAACUCUAGGAAACUGGGGCUAAUACCGCGGAGGAGAUCCUGCUGCACGGGGGGGGAUGGUAAGUGACGGCGGUGGUGGCUGGACUAGCAGCUUAUCAGCUUGUUGGUCGGGUAGUGGCUUACAAGGGCUUUGACGGGUAGCCGGCCUGGGAGGGUGGCCGGCCUCAUUGGGCCUACGGUAGGCCCCAGUCUCCAACGGGCGGCAGUGGUGGAAAGCAUUGCGCAAUGGGCCGACGCCUGAUACAGCGGCCCCGCGUGCGUGAUGCCGUCUUUCGAGUUAUAAACCGCUUUCGCCUGAACCAAGGAGUGAGUGACGGUACUGAAUCAGAAAGCACCGGCUAACUACGUG
rnacentral:rRNA from 1 species